UAUAAAGUUCUCUCUCUUUUACUUUCUUCUUGGUAUCAUAGCAAGAUUGGGUUCCUUGUUUAAGGUCCGGGUUCUCCAUUGAGUCGUAUGCUCUGCACUCGCCACAUAUGUGGAGCUUGUGCAUCAGAAAACUUCAUUGGUAGUAAGUUGAGUCGUAUGCUCUGUACUUGCCACCUUUAGUGGAUCUUGUACAUCAGAAAACUCAGUUUGCCAUUUUCUCGGUACCCUUCGGCGACUUUCCCGGAGACUUCGAUGACAUUUUCGGCAGCUUUCCCAGUGAAUUUUUGGUGGCUCUAGCGAUUCUAAUGCCUUUUUGGGCAACUUUUUGGCAGCUCUAACAACUUUUUCGGCGACUCUAAUGACUUUUUCGAUAGCUUUCCGGUGAAUUUCUGGCAACUUCCUAGUGAAUUUCCAGCAUUUUCGGUAACUUUUUUGCCAUCUCUAGCGCCUUUUCAGACAACUUUCAGUGACUUCUCCAACAACUUUCUGGUGUCUCCAUCAGCUUUUUCGGCGACUUUCUAGAAAUUUCUGGUUACUUCGUCGGCAACUUUCUGGCGUCUCCAACAACUUUCCGACCCUUUCCUUGCCAUAUAAAGCAUGCCUAUUUCUAUUGUCAGGGUUGUGCGGCCAGUAGGCCGGACUUAAUCUGGUCGGACCUCCAUAUAAGUCAAUAUACUCUACACUACCUCAGCCCAGCCAAACUGCAUACUCUCUGAGGCGCGGGACUAGCUGCUACCUCGUCAAACCAGCCCCCUCCACCCAACGAACUGGGGAGCUGUAUACUCUCCGAGUACGGUCGAAGGUGAUCCAGGUAGGUGAGCAGACCAGGCUCGCAGAUAGAGGGGCUUCAGUAGUGCCUUGUCAGUGAAGUGAGUAUUGUGGAGGAUUUUUGUAUAUUCC